rnacentral:lncRNA from 1 species
UUUAACAAAAAAUAACUAAUGUCAUUCAUGAAUAUGUUCGGUCUAAAGUUAGAGAAUUAGCAACCCUAUUAAAUACAAUAUAUGGCAUUUACAAAUAAAAUACAAAAUACAAACAAACUAAAUUUAACUACUUUCGGUAUCAAAUUGGAAGGUCUUCCAUCCCCCUCCCUCUAAUGAGUCCAUUGGUAUUUUAAAGAAUGGUAUAGAACUUACUCCAAUAUAAUGCUACAGGGAAAAAUUCAUAAAGACCCCGAUGACAGAAAUAAGUCAGAGAGAACAUGAAUCCAUGAACAGUCCGGAUGUUGACCUCCUCCUUCGGCUAGUGUUGUG